rnacentral:lncRNA from 1 species
AUGAGAUUUGAAGAAAAAGUAUUUCCUAGACAGCAUGAGAUUUGAAGAAAACCAACAUUAUUAUAUACAGCAAUAAUGAUAUUUUAUUUAGAUAGUCUUAUAUAACUUGGCCAGUUGUUCCCAUUUUCUUCUCCACAUCUCAUAUUCCUUUUCUUUACCAAAAAAUAGAAGAUCAGAAGAGAAAGUUGCAAGACACCACUCAGGCCGGCAGGUAUUCUAGACCCUUCAUGUACUCAUGAUUUGCAUGCAUCUUGCUAUAGCCUAUGUAUAUUAAUUAUAUCUUUCGGUAUUGUAGCAAUAUAAUCAUCUUGCAUACCAUGUGCUAUAUUUUUUGUAAACUGCGAAUUUCUUGUUUCUUGUUUGACUUGAACCCAAGAUUUCAGACUUGAGUGUUUUACAAUGUUUUGUUUUGUUACUGGACACCACCAACCCCACUAAUAUAACCUACACUACAUAAGUUGCAUUUUAUUGAUAACAGGCCUUUCCAAUUUGUUAUUUUACCCAUGAAAAUCUACUUGACGGUGUGGGACUGUGGCCACUGAGGUGUUAUCAUUACUAGCUAUUAAUUUAACUUCAAUAUGCUAGAAGUUAUUUAUUUAGCUUUAUAACAAUACUUUUUUUUUUUUUUUUUGAGUAAAUUGCCAUUUUAGUCCCUAAGUUUUGUCAAAAUUUGUCAUUUUAGUCCAAAUAGUUUUUUUUUUUUGCCUCUGGGUCCCUGACUUUUCCCUUUUGUUGCCAUUUUGAUCACAUACACUAACUCCAUCCAAAAACUCCAUCUUUAACCAGUGGUAUUUUGGGGAUUUUCAUUUUAAAUGUUUUCAAUUGCCAUUUUGAUCCAAUUCCAAAAAAUCAAAAAAAUUCCAAAAAAUCAAAAA